AAGGUAAUCAAAAUCCCGCUCACUCCCAAAACAAAUUUUUGGUUACCCGCUCAUUACUCCCUCUUCUUCUCAUCUCCGUCGUGCGCCCUAAAUCCCCCAAAUAAAAGUUUGUUUUUCUUCAGCUGAAAUCCCCCAAAUUUCCCAUUUCCAACAACAGACUUCAAGGAAGAAAACCAGACGAUGGGAUGGAAUCACUUAGACAUAUCGCUAGAAGAAAUGAUGAAACUGAUAGAAGGGUUUGUUGAUAUCCUGGUUUUGUCUUCUGGGUAUCAAUCCUCUGGUCUUCCCGCACACUGGGACUUUGAUAACAUCAAGCAAGCCUUUCAAUGGGCCCUCUUCUUUGAAAAUGUCAGUAGUCUAUACCCUCUUUGAAAAUGUCUGACAAGAGAUGCUAAGUCGGAUUUUGUUCCAGAUCUUCAACAGCAGAAAGAUUGUCACGAUGGAAUUGUCGUUAAUGGCGGAAGUGAUGGCCUUUUACUCUCACAUGCCAACAGCAACAAGCUCAUUAUCUAUACCGAUCCCGGGAUUGGUCAGUUUCGUUCCUUUUUUUUAUUUAUUUACUUUUUCUCUGGUUGGCUACCAAUUUAGUUGCAUAAAUUAGAAUUAUAAUGAAAUAGGAAACAAUUUUACCUUUUCAAUUUAUAUUUUUCCUGGGAGUUUUAUUUUGGGAUAAGCCAUAAAGUUUGAUUUAAAAAGCUACGUUGACUCUCUUUGUCUAUAUAGAAAAGUUUUAUUUUAGGGGCAUGUGAUGAGAUCUAUAUAGGAAAGUUUCGGGUUUUGAUAUGUAUAUAAUGAAACCAGAAAAUUUUUAUUAAAUUAUACAAGGAAGUGAAAACAAUAUGGAGUGGAUUGAUUGAUUGGCAGGAUUAGAUAUGUAGAGAUUUUGUUUGAGUUUGACCUUGAGCAAUGUAUGAAUGCGUUUGUCAUUUGAUUAACAAAUGAUAGCAUGGCGAUCUUUACAAAAUCCAGAAUAUGAGAUCUUAGGUUUGACCACCAUAGUUGGCAAUGUCCAAACCGAAGAUGCCACUCGUAAUGCCUUACUUCUGGUACAUGCUUCUCAUUUCUGGUUUUCAUAUGCAUUUGGAAUACGUUCAUGAUUUUAUCCUCUUUUUGAGGUGCAAAAGGAUAGUGUGAAAUCGCAAGGCGUCCUGAUGUUCCUGUAGCACAAGGCAGCCUCGAGCCGCUUACGGAGACAGCCUUGCAAUAUUGAGAGCAGAGUUAAAGAGUCAAAAUAAGCAUGUGAAAAAUUUGAAGAAAAAAUCUCUUUGGUCUAGAAUUUUGGAAGAGGUCAUGGAGAAGCUUGUAUAUAUCGUUCAUUUCUUGCACUUGGAGAUUCACGAGGCGUUUGGCGUUGCUGGUAAGAAUUUAAAUCAUCAAACUCAAAUAAUUUGGAAAUGGAAUUAUUUUAUCAAGGAAGUUAUGAAGAUAAAAUUAAAAUAUUUAUGCUACAUUUGGUGGGAGUAUUAUUUUUUAUGCAUGUUUUAGUAUAUAAGUUAGAAAUAAACUAAUUCAAUUGGUAAUAUUUAACCAUUCCUAUGACUUAUUUUAGCAAAGAGAAGGAAAAUAUUUGUUUAUUUUGAAGAGGUCUUAUUUUUACAGGAGUUUUAUUCAUCUUUCUAAUUUCAAGUUUAAAAUUGUACUAACUAUUCUUUAUGUUACGUCUAAGCAUUCUUGUAUUUCCUCCAGUUUAAAAUUAUACUAAUUUCAAGUUUAAAAUUGUACUAACUAUUUCCCCGAAAAAUUACCUUUCAAAUCUGUCAGUUAAAUAAAAUUAUUUGUGAGAUUAAAUAAAUAAAUGUGCUAUAGUCUCUGUAAUUUGCCAUCUAAGCAUUCUUGUAUUUCAUCUAAUUUGUUUGUUGUUUAUGCUAAAGAACUGUGGCCUUUUUUAUCAUUUAUUUUGUGCAGGAAUUAGUGGUGCACCUCAAGAUAACAACAUUAUGCUUUGGAAUGUGGUUAUAUUUGGGUAUAUUAUGAAAUAAGACUAGAGAAUCUUUAUGUACUUGCUUUUUAGAUUAAAGUUCUAUUAAAUUGUGCUAAUGUCUUUACAUGAUGGAUUUGCAGACUAAUGCUAAUGUCUAUUAAAUUCUGGUGUUUUGGUUUGAAGCAUCAAUUUUUCUAUGUUCGUUUAGUUGAUUUGUUCGAUUUUCUCUUUAGAAGGUUGCUAUGCUCAAUAUAUGUUGAUGUAAUCUAUUUAAAAUUUCUGAGCGGUUUUAAAAUUUAUUUUGAUUAUUAUGUGAGGUUAGGCAACAAGGUGAAUAAUAUCGAUGAUUAUUACUUUGAUUAUUUAUGGUGCGAAGAUUAUAAGUAUAUCAAGGUGAUCUUUUCUGAUUGUCGUGAAACUUCUGCAUCUCAGCCGAGGUUAGUCUUAAUUGAUCUCAAUUGUCUCCUUGUUCCACUAUUAGCUAAAACAGUAAGCUCGUUGAUUUUCUGACUUGCUUAAUAGAUUAGUUGUUUCAUGUUUAGAAACUUUUGAUGCUCUUGGUCUUAUGUCCUGUAGUCAUUGAAAAAAAUUUGGUUCUCAUUCUUCACUUAACAAGUCCAGUGGCACAUACAUAUGUAAACUAGGAAUUCAUUAGUUUCAUUGCUGUAAUCUCUCUUAUUCAAUAUCUAAUUCAUUUCCAAGGUUGAGAUAGCUAAAAGUUGUCAAUUUCCUCGAGUAUUAAUUUUUGCAUUCAUGUUAUUUCCCAUUCAUAUUUAACUUGUCAAUAUCAAUUUUUGUUUUAAUGUGCUAUAAUUAUUUUCCCAAUUCUGCAGGGUACAUGAAGAUUGGAUAACCAGGAAUGUAGUAGAUGUAGUUUGCAUUGUAUUUUUAUUACCAAGAUUUACUUGAUUAAGAAAAUGCAUUGUAUUUUU